rnacentral:rRNA from 1 species
UACGAAGGGGGCAAGCGUUGUUCGGAAUCACUGGGCGUAAAGCGUACGUAGGCGGAUUGUUAAGUCAGGGGUGAAAGCCCGAGGCUCAACCUCGGAACUGCCUUUGAUACUGGCAAUCUUGAGUCCGGGAGAGGUGAGUGGAAUGCCGAGUGUAGAGGUGAAAUUCGUAGAUAUUCGGCGGAACACCAGUGGCGAAGGCGGCUCACUGGCCCGGAACUGACGCUGAGGUACGAAAGCGUGGGGAGCAAACAGG